UCAAAUACGUGAAAGGUACUCAUCACUGGAUUUGGUUUCUGGGGAGACAUAGUCAGGUGUCUACAAAUACGUUUUUAUUAAUGUCCCUAAUGUUGACUGAUAUCAGACAUCAAUUGGAUGAUAUGUUCAUACUAAUGGUUGAUAUUCAUCCUUUAUUGGCUAAUAUGAUUAACAACAUACAGUAUACUUUCGUUUCCUUCUCUCUCUCCUCUUUCUCGCUCUUCCCCUCCUUCUUUCUCUUGUUCGUUCAUUUCAUUUACUCACCUCCUUUCUUCUCCAACUUCUCAUAUCAGCCACAAAUCUCAUGCCACCCCACCGCACCCACCAACCACCGAACCCACCCACCAAACCUUCCUCUCUUUCUUUCUUAAAUCAGCCACAAAUCCCAUGCCACUCCACCGAUCACCAACCACUGAACCCACCACCCCCGCAACCACCAGUAUGUCGCAUCUCCAACCAUAACCCGAAACCCGCUUUCCCACAACAACCACCAAUCGCCACCAACCACAAGCAGAGCAGCCCUUGAAUUUCCAGCCACCAAAAUCCACAUCCCUACAACAACCACCUGUAACAAAGCUAGCAUCGAUCUUCGCAAUGGGUUAAGGAUGAGUACUUUGAUGUUGAGGUUGAAUACUAGGAUCGCCGCCGCUGCUUCCCAGAACCACCAGUUAAGAAUUGUUGCCGCUGCCGCACCAACUUUUGGUGCGGACUAAUAGUUUGUGUUUUAUAUGUUAGUAAAAAAUUUAUCAAAGCUAAUACAUGAAUGUUAAGAAAACCCAACGUCCUAUAUAUUUUGAGACGAAUAGAGUAUUACGUAGUGGAUGGUUUAUAACAAAGUAAUUUGUAUGUGAGCCCAAAUGUUUCCACCCAUUUCAAAAUACGGAAUAGCCUUCACAUAUUUUAAUAUUUUUUGGCUGUUUAGGUAUAAAUUAUUCGAAAUUUAGACUAAUUUCAACCUUUUUCUUUUGUUUAACUUUAAAUUUUCGAUCUUAAUUGCAAUAAGUCUACACAUAGUUUGAUGUUUGCCCCGUCUCAUGGUGGAGUAAGUAAAAACCUAAGAAUUUAACAAAUACAUAUCAAACUGAAUCAAAUUAAACUCAGCUUUGCAAAUCUAUGACCAUUAUUGUUGUGAAUGAGUGAGAUCUGACUUCCAACAUACCUUUUCCAUAUGGUAGUUUAAAAUAACCUUCCAAGAGGUCUUACAAUCUAUCUAUUGUGAAAUGAGAUCCGACUUUCAACAUAUACCUCUUCCGUGUGGUAGUCUAAAACAACCUUUCAAGAGGAGGUCUAAGACUCUUUAUGUAAUCUGUUGUGAUUUCGAGACGAUUAUUGUGACGGAUUUGAUCUAAUUUAAAAAUUGCAAACGAAAAGGUAAACGUAAAAACAAAAAAAAAAAAAAAAAAAAAAAAAAAAAAAAAAAAAAAAAUCUAAAAGGUACGUGAAGCCAAAUUAAAGAAGCAGAAUGAUGCCACCAUAUACUAUAUACUCGUACAUAUUAUCCAAUAUCGUUACACGCAUUGAAGAAGAAGCUUCAAAAGAUUCCUUUCAACAAAUAAUAUAAUAAAAAGGAAAGUUGAGAAGAUCCAAACAUUACAAACAGAAAUAAAAUAAAAUAAAAACAGAAAAA